rnacentral:rRNA from 1 species
GAUGAACGCUGGCGGCGUGCCUAAUACAUGCAAGUCGAGCGAACGGACGAGAAGCUUGCUCCUCUGAUGUUAGCGGCGGACGGGUGAGUAACACGUGGAUAACCUACCUAUAAGACUGGGAUAACUUCGGGAAACCGGAGCUAAUACCGGAUAAUAUUUUGAACCGCAUGGUUCAAAAGUGAAAGACGGUCUUGCUGUCACUUAUAGAUGGAUCCGCGCUGCAUUAGCUAGUUGGUAAGGUAACGGCUUACCAAGGCAACGAUGCAUAGCCGACCUGAGAGGGUGAUCGGCCACACUGGAACUGAGACACGGUCCAGACUCCUACGGGAGGCAGCAGUAGGGAAUCUUCCGCAAUGGGCGAAAGCCUGACGGAGCAACGCCGCGUGAGUGAUGAAGGUCUUCGGAUCGUAAAACUCUGUUAUUAGGGAAGAACAUAUGUGUAAGUAACUAUGCACGUCUUGACGGUACCUAAUCAGAAAGCCACGGCUAACUACGUG